rnacentral:SRP_RNA from 1 species
GCCGGGCGUGGUGGGGUGUACCUGUAGUCCCAGCUACUUGGGAGACUGAGGUGGGAGGAUCACUUGAGCUUAGGAUUUCUGGGCUGUAGUGUGCUAUGCCAGUCAGGUAUCCACACAAAGUUUGGCAUCAAUAUGGUGACCUCCCAGGAGCAGGGGACCACCAGGUUGCCUAAGGAGGGGUGAACCGGCCCAGGUGGGAAAUGGAGCAGGUCAAAACUCCAGUGCUGAUCAGUAGUGGGAUAGCGCCUGUGAAUAGCCACUGCACUCCAGCCUGGGCAACAUAGGGAGAUCCUGUCUCU